rnacentral:rRNA from 1 species
CCCUUAGACGUUCUGGGCCGCACGCGCGCUACACUGACACAGGCAACGAGCUUUCCUUUACCGAAAGGUAUGGGUAAUCUUUUGAAACUGUGUCGUGCUGGGGAUAGAUCCUUGCAAUUUUUGAUCUUAAACGAGGAAUUCCUAGUAGGCGCGAGUCAUCAACUCGCGUUGAUUACGUCCCUGCCCUUUGUACACACCGCCCGUCGCUACUACCGAUUGAAUGGCUUAGUGAGGCCUCAGGAUCCGCGCUUAAUGUGUGGAGAAUUUGGACAAACUACGUCAUUUAGAGGAAGUAAAAGUCGUAACA